GAUAUCUGACUUUGCACUUCCACAAUAUCCACUUGUAAUGACUACAGCACUAACAGCAGCGUAGUAAUAUAAAAACAUCAUUUCCAGGAGGAAGUGCUGCAUUUAUUCCUCACACAGAGUUCAGAUGGAGGAGGAUGGUGGGAUGCACAUGACUUUGACACUGGAGACUGGGGCUCCUGAAUCCUGAUCCAUUCUAGUUCUGGUUAAGUGCCCCUCUCAGACUGGAGACGAUUUCAUCCAACCACCAAGAGUUCACGGCUCGUCCAGGGCAGAAAUCUAGAUUUCCAGCACUUUGCUUCAGACACCUCAGCUGCCCUCUAUCACAGCUGAUAAAACAGGUUGUUACAGUUGACCGAACAACAGUGAGUCCCUGACCUUUUCCCUGAAAAUUUCCCAGCCUGUUUGUGACAACAUGGUCUGAAUGCUACAAGAUGACGUCUGAAAGUUUUUUUUUGUACUGGGUUGGUGGAAGGUGGCAAAGUCACAGCAGAGACAGAGGAAGGAAGAGAAAGACUGAAACAAAGACCGACAAAGACAAAAAGUGAGAAAUGGAAGGCGACAGCAGGAGAGGCAGAGCGGAGCGAGGAGCAAAAGAGCGUGCGAGAUGGAGUUUUCUUGGCAGAGCUCCCUGAAGCGCUGCACAUUCCCGCAAGAUUAAUUGAAGCUGUUUCUGUUUUUGUUUUUUCAGCCUGUGAAUUACCUCCAGAUUAUAGAGAAACAGCUGUUUACCCGCCUCCCCCGGACUCAGCCUGUGUGAUUAUGCAUCGAGUGACAACCAAGACAAACAUCCAGCGCGCUCGCUCGAGCUGCUCCGACGAAACCUUCACGCCUCUCCGAUGCUCUUUCCAUUUCACAACCUGUCAUUCAUUUGCAUAGCUAUUAAUGAAACAAACCAGACACCAUCAUUACAACGACAAAGAAAUAUUUAUUAAAUCUUUUUUUUUGUUGUUGUUGUUGUUUGUUUUAGUUAGUCAUAGCUGCUCCAACACGUGUAUUUACAAAGAAAUGGCCUUUUUGUAGAAAAGUCUAGUGAGGGACUGAGCAGGAAACAGACAUUAGAAUAGUUUCGAUGAGUACAGGAGAGGACGGGGCUCGUAUAGGCACAAGGUACAGUUACUACAAUGUUAAAAGAAAUGUGCAGUUUUGUGGCACAUCCAUGUCUUGUUUAGAAAAAAAAAAGUUGUGGCAAAAGUAACAAAACGUUCCCAAUGUUAGAUGCACCGACAAAAGCACACAUCCUUUUUUAAAAAAAAAAAAAAAAAAAAAAAGAUACAGAGGAUGUAGAACAGAUGCUGCAAGCCAGGGACACAGUGGUGCUAGCUUCAGGCUACAUGGUACCAAAAUCAGGUGAAGAAGAAGUCCUUACAACGCGUUACCCGCCCUCCUCGUAGCACAGUUUGUUCAAAAAACAUGAAACAUCAAAAUCUGAUGUGGAAAACAGACCUUCUCCCGGCUGCCACAAACAAACACGUCCAGCGUCUACACCAAUAAAAGUCAACCGCUUCUCCUGAGUCCUGCAACAUCGUCACGGAAGUCUUUAACCGCGACUUGGCUCGGAAACAGCUGGAGGUGAAGAUUAGCGAGAGAGACCACAAACGGAAACAAAGAUCAGACUGCACCUCGAAGACACUUUGGAUGCAACAAUACAAUGAACAAAAGCAGUAUUUUUUUUUCUUAUUUUUUUUUUCUAAAAAAGGAGGGAAAACAGAUUUUCCAGCUCUUGCAGAUCCAUCUGUUCUUUCUUCAGGCCCUUUGAUUCGUGAUUGUAACCCGACCACACUGCAUGUUUGAUAUGUGCCACGUUUGCACAAACACGUUUACCCAUACAGGGUGCAAUGUUGAUCCUGUUUUUGUUUUUCUAUUUCAUAUAAAAGACAUAUAAAAUGAAAUUAAGCAUUUUU